UGUACAUAAAGCGGAGGGAGGGAGGAGCGAGCGUGUAGUAUUUCUUUUUCGGUUCUUUCCCUCCUGUCGCUGCAGCCCGUCCAAACGCUCCUGUAGGCUAAAGGAAAGGCAGCAAGGAAAAAAGAAGAAGGGGACGCAAACUAUUAUUCCCACGUUUGAGCUUUGCAAGAAGGAGGACGAGGAGCUGCGAGAGAAGGCAGAGGAGGAGGGAGAUAAUUUUGACAGUGCGAGGCGGAGCAGCGUUAGCGGAGGAGCCCGGCUCGGAGUGAGUGUGAGAGGGGGGGGAACGUGGAACCACUCAGCGCCGCUUCACUCGUGCAGAAACCCGGAGGAGCCCCGCUGACUUUCUCCCGCUUCAUUACCGCCCUCAUAACCAAAAAACCCGGGGCUGGUUGUCCACGCUGCGUGGGGGGGUGAACCGCCGAUUUCUGUGAGAUCUACACCGAGGUGAACGCCUGCAUCAAAUGUCAAGAACCUCUGAGGUGAAGAUAACCAAAGUGACUCCUAAGGGCGGAGACGAGGCGGACCACACAACGCAGGAGGCCUUGGGAAAUCAUUAACGGCACACAGACACAUGCAACAUGACUGGUAGG